rnacentral:tRNA from 1 species
AUGAAUGAGCGGGCCUCGAUCCCACAAAAAUUAAUUAA